AUUGAACGCUGGCGGCAGGCCUAACACAUGCAAGUCGAACGGUAACAGGAAGAAGCUUGCUUCUUUGCUGACGAGUGGCGGACGGGUGUGUAAUGUCUGGGAAACUGCCUGAUGGAGGGGGAUAACUACUGGAAACGGUAGCUAAUACCGCAUAACUUCGCAAGACCAAAGAGGGGGACCUUCGGGCCUCUUGCCAUCGGAUGUGCCCAGAUGGGAUUAGCUAGUAGGUGGGGUAACGGCUCACCUAGGCGACGAUCCCUAGCUGGUCUGAGAGGAUGACCAGCCACACUGGAACUGAGACACGGUCCAGACUCCUACGGGAGGCAGCAGUGGGGAAUAUUGCACAAUGGGCGCAAGCCUGAUGCAGCCAUGCCGCGUGUAUGAAGAAGGCCUUCGGGUUGUAAAGUACUUUCAGCGGGGAGGAAGGGAGUAAAGUUAAUACCUUUGCUCAUUGACGUUACCCGCAGAAGAAGCACCGGCUAACUCCGU
rnacentral:rRNA from 1 species